GUCUACGGCCAAGCCACCCUGAACGAGUCCGAUCCCUUCCGAUCUCGGAAGCUAAGCAGGGUCGGGCCUGGUUAGUACUUGGAUGGGAGACCAUCUAGGAAGACCAGGUGCUGUGGGCA
rnacentral:rRNA from 1 species